GUGAAUGUGAGAAGACGGAGGAAAAGUGAACCGCGAUUCCUCCGGAAGCGGCGACAACGGCGGCGAGCAUGGCGGCGAAAGUGAGAAGACGAAGGAGAAGUCCUCCGGAGCUAUUUCGAAGCUUUUCUCCACGGCGCAUCGCAAGAUGAGGUGUAUGAUGUAUGUCUUUUUCGGCUAUCUGUGAUAAGAGUGAUAUAUUGAUAGGUAUUUUGUGCCUUUGGUUUGCUAUGUGUGGUAUGUAUUAGGUAUGUCGGAAUUUCUGAGAAUUGAUUGGAUAAAGAGAGGAAGACAGAUAUAAUAGGGUUGGUUAAGAAACUUGGGUUAUAGGAGUGUUGUAGUACUGGAAUUUUUCUUUGAGGGGAGAACUAAACUUUCUGAUUUUUGUGUGCCUACAUAUAGCACCUAGCUGUCAGCUUUGAAAGUCAGUAAUGUCACGACUCUUUGCUUUCCUGAUUAUUCUCUUCAACUGCUCACAAUUGCUGGACUUUUCCUUUCUGAUUUAAUUAUUGAUUUGCAUAAGUUAUCAUCAAUCACAGUUUAGGAAUAACCAACCAGUAAUGUUGAUUGCCUUCCUCCAAAACUGAUUGGAAAUCCUCUUUCUUAUGCCUAUAUUACUUGACCUGCCAUUCACUAUUUAAUGCUCUUGAUCACUUUGAUUCUUAUGCAUUGAUUUGCUAAUUGUAACUAUACCAUAGCUUCUUAUUGCUGCCCAUUAUUUGUGAGAGUGUAACUGAAACUGUAAUAGUGCAGCCUUUGCAUCUGUUGAGUGCCACUUUAUUCACGUGUUCCUCUCCCCCCUUUUUAAUAUGCUCAUCAAUGCUGUCUUUUGGGAUUUUACUGAUCCUCUACUUGUUUUGUUGUCACCUUUACAGACUCUAACAAUAUAUCAAGUUCAAAUCUGUCAUUUUCGCAUCUAAACAAGCUCUCUUUAUGGUUUUUUUUUUUUUUGCACAUAUGUUUAGAGGAAUGUUCCUUUGAUUUCUGCCAGUAAGACUUUAGUGCUCAGAUUUUCUCUGUUUGGAGAAAGCAUUUCUACAGUGGUUGUAGUUUCACACAUACACAUGAGAAUCCUCUCCAGCUGAAAUUUAUGCUUUCC